rnacentral:rRNA from 1 species
UACGGAGGAUCCCAAGCGUUAUCCGGAUUCAUUGGGUUUAAAGGGUGCGUAGGCGGAAUGAUAAGUCAGUGGUGAAAGCCUGCAGCUUAACUGCAGAACUGCCAUUGAUACUGUCAAUCUUGAGUACAUUUGAUGUGGGCGGAAUGUGUCAUGUAGCGGUGAAAUGCUUAGAUAUGACACAGAACGCCGAUUGCGAAGGCAACUUACUAAGCCAUUACUGACGCUGAGGCACGAAAGCGUGGGUAGCGAACAGGAUUAGAAACCCGGGUAGU